CCAAACAAGGAAGGAGAGGAAAAUGCAUUGCAAAAUUGUGGAUGAGUCACGUGAGUCAAAAAUACAUGCAUAGUUAUAUUUUUGUCUGGAAGGCCCAGCUCAGAAGUGUGAUGCCUGCAUUUUAGUGCUUUGCACAGUGAGUUGGUGAGUGCACAUACACUUCCCAGAAAAAGAGAACAUUAAAAACACAAACAGCAAAAGCCUGGUAAAAGUUGUAACCAGCUCUGACUGUCCAUGGUAUGACAGCCAACAAAUAUCACCUGCUGAUGAUUUACAGAUUCCUGGGAGAUGUGGUGUUGAGUCUCAAAGAACUGGAACGAGAACAACUCACUCAACGUGCUUCUCAGGAAACAAUGUGUUGGCUAGGUGAAAUGCAUCCCAGGGAAUUGCAGAUGGAGGAAUCACAACAUCCCACAUACAGAGCAGUCCAAACUUCUGCCAAACUCUUCACUGCGUCUUUAACUCAAAACACUUGUACUCUUUGUGAUUGAUGUUUGUAGAAAAAGGCAGACCUAACCCAGGAAAGUCUUCUGCAAUCUGGCUCUGACUUCCUUCACACAAGAACUUAUGUACAGUCAUACAAUUUAACAGCCUGCCCUGAGAGUUCCACAUGAACCUAACACAGCAUUUGAUGAGAUCAAGAGCUGUGCAGAUAAAAGCAAAAGCAACAACAACAACAAACUACUGCUACCAACUCCCUUCCCUCUGAAGUCAUCACAGCUCAGGUUAGGAAGAUCAGUAAAUAAAAAGUACAAGUCAGGUGGAAAAGAUUCCAAUGCGGCCUGCACCAUGAAAGGACUCCAACAGCUUUGCAAUUAUACCUUGUUCCUCCUCAUUCCUCUGUAUUCUGUCUUGGAGCAGUGAAUCUUCAAUCAUCACGAUUUUGUUGGGGCUGACAAAAAAAGGAUAAUCUUCUGACAGCUCUGGAGAACCUGUAAUUCAAAUUACUUCUUGAAGUAUUUCACUAGCUAGCACCAAAGGUUAGAUGCUUGCUUUCCUUUACUAAGCCUCUCCUUUUCAAGGCUGCUGUUUCUAUCUGGAUAAUGACCAACUUUGUCACAAGCUGCCUUUUUUCUGACCCCUGACAUCAAGCUCGCCAUCUGACUGAAGAUGGGUCCUAGGCUUAGCUACCUAGAACAUGGCCUAGUCUUGGGAGCAACAGGAAUAGAGGGCUUCUCCCUGCACUCAGCAGUCUCAGUUGUAUUUUUAAGUCAUCUGAAAGCACCUUUGCACUGAUUCCAUGAGCUACACUUUGGUCCUAUCAAGACAGGCAGGCAGCUGCAUGAGAGGUGGAAAGAGAGAAAAUGAUUGAGAUGAAAUCACCACCAACAACUAUUGCAGGCAGGAAGGCAGUUUUGGAUCCCAGCCACAAUACUUCUGCAACCUGGUUUGAAUGGGCCUGACGGGAUGCCAUAAUGGAACCUACACCGAACAAGGACUUAAUAUUCUUUCCUGAUUUCCCUGAAGCAACAUGAGAAAUUCUUUACAUGUGCGUGAAUAUGGCUAUUGCAGUAGCAGAGAUUUGACGAGUGAAGUGUUCUAACAGCACAGGAAGUCAGUGAUGAAACUGGAAAGGCAAGACUAAAGUACUCAUGUCUAUCUUAAUGCAGAAUACGUGGUGAAAAACUGUAGCUUGGCUGUAUGUGGACUGAUGGAGUGACAAAGAAAAGCUUAAGGCUUCAUAAACACCUUUGCUUUUCUCA